rnacentral:rRNA from 1 species
CUCAGAACGAACGCUGGCGGCGCGUUUAAGCAUGCAAGUCGAGCGGCAAGGGCCUUCGGGCCCCUAGAGCGGCGGACGGGUGAGUAACACGUGGACAAUCUGCCCCCCGGCCCGGGAUAGCCCAGGGAAACCUGGAUUAAUACCGGAUGAGACGGGACCCGCGAUGGCGGGACCCGGGAAAGGCGCUGCGGCGCCGCCGGGGGAUGAGUCUGCGUCCCAUUAGCUAGACGGCGGGGUAACGGCCCACCGUGGCGACGAUGGGUAGCCGGCCUGAGAGGGUGGACGGCCACAUUGGAACUGAGACACGGUCCAGACUCCUACGGGAGGCAGCAGCUAAGAAUCUUCCGCAAUGGGCGAAAGCCUGACGGAGCCGACGCCGCGUGAACGAAGAAGGCCGUGAGGUUGUAAAGUUCUUUUCGGGAGGGGGAACAACCGUGGCAGGGAAUGGCCGCGGGAUGACGUGAAUCCCGGAAUAAGCCCCGGCUAACUACGUGCCAGCCGCGGC